rnacentral:rRNA from 1 species
GUAGAGAGAAGCUUGCUUCUNUGAGAGCGGCGGACGGGUGAGUAAAGCCUAGGAAUCUGCCUGGUAGUGGGGGAUAACGUUCGGGAACGGACGCUAAUACCGCAUACGUCCUACGGGAGAAAGCAGGGGACUUUCGGGCCUUGCGCUAUCAGAUGAGCCUAGGUCGGAUUAGCUAGUUGGUGAGGUAAUGGCUCACCAAGGCGACGAUCCGUAACUGGUCUGAGAGGAUGAUCAGUCACACUGGAACUGAGACACGGUCCAGACUCCUACGGGAGGCAGCAGUGGGGAAUAUUGGACAAUGGGCGAAAGCCUGAUCCAGCCAUGCCGCGUGUGUGAAGAAGGUCUUCGGAUUGUAAAGCACUUUAAGUUGGGAGGAAGGACAUUAACCUAAUACGUUAGUGUUUUGACGUUACCGACAGAAUAAGCACCGGCUAACUCUGUGCCAGCAGCCGCGGUAAUACAGAGGGUGCAAGCGUUAAUCGGAAUUACUGGGCGUAAAGCGCGCGUAGGUGGUUUGUUAAGUUGGAUGUGAAAUCCCCGGGCUCAACCUGGGAACUGCAUUCAAAACUGACUGACUAGAGUGUGGUAGAGGGUGGUGGAAUUUCCUGUGUAGCGGUGAAAUGCGUAGAUAUAGGAAGGAACACCAGUGGCGAAGGCGACCACCUGGACCAACACUGACACUGAGGUGCGAAAGCGUGGGGAGCAAACAGGAUUAGAUACCCUGGUAGUCCACGCCGUAAACGAUGUCAACUAGCCGUUGGAAGCCUUGAGCUUUUAGUGGCGCAGCUAAC